rnacentral:rRNA from 1 species
AACGAACGCUGGCGGCAUGCCUAACACAUGCAAGUCGAACGAGACCUUCGGGUCUAGUGGCGCACGGGUGCGUAACGCGUGGGAAUCUGCCCUUGGGUUCGGAAUAACAGUUAGAAAUGACUGCUAAUACCGGAUGAUGUCUUCGGACCAAAGAUUUAUCGCCCAGGGAUGAGCCCGCGUCGGAUUAGCUAGUUGGUGAGGUAAAAGCUCACCAAGGCGACGAUCCGUAGCUGGUCUGAGAGGAUGAUCAGCCACACUGGGACUGAGACACGGCCCAGACUCCUACGGGAGGCAGCAGUGGGGAAUAUUGGACAAUGGGCGAAAGCCUGAUCCAGCAAUGCCGCGUGAGUGAUGAAGGCCUUAGGGUUGUAAAGCUCUUUUACCCGGGAUGAUAAUGACAGUACCGGGAGAAUAAGCCCCGGCUAACUCCGUGCCAGCAGCCGCAGUAACAC